UACGUAGGGGGCUAGCGUUGUCCGGAAUCAUUGGGCGUAAAGAGCGUGUAGGCGGCCCGGUAAGUCCGCUGUGAAAGUCGGGGGCUCAACCCUCGAAAGCCGGUGGAUACUGUCGGGCUAGAGUGCGGAAGAGGCGAGUGGAAUUCCUGGUGUAGCGGUGAAAUGCGCAGAUAUCAGGAGGAACACCAAUGGCGAAGGCAGCA
rnacentral:rRNA from 1 species